rnacentral:rRNA from 1 species
AUUGAACGCUGGCGGCAGGCCUAACACAUGCAAGUCGAACGAGAGGCGGACGGGUGAGUAAGGUCUGGGAAACUGCCCGAUGGAGGGGGGUAACUACUGGAAACGGUAGCUAAUACCGCAUACCAUCGGAUGUGCCAAGAGGGGAUUAGCUAGUAGUUGGGGUAACGGCUCACCUAGGCGGCGAUCCCUAGCUGGUCUGAGAGGAUGACCAGCAACACUGGAACGGAGACACGGUCCAGACGCCUGCGGGGGGCGGCAGUGGGGAAGAUGUCACAAUGGGCGCAAGCCUGAAGCAGCCAUGCCGAGUGUAUGAAGAAGGCCUUCGGGUUGUAAAGUACUGUCAGCGAGGAGGCGUUACUCGCAGAAGAAGCACCGGCUAACUCCGUGCCAGCAGCCGCGGUAAUAC